UACGGGGGGGGCAAGCGUUGUCCGGAAUUAUUGGGCGUAAAGAGCGCGUAGGCGGUCCGGUAAGUCGGUUGUGAAAGUCGGGGGCUCAACCCUCGGAUGCCGAUCGAUACUGUCGGGCUAGAGUCCGGAAGAGGCGAGUGGAAUUCCUGGUGUAGCGGUGAAAUGCGCAGAUAUCAGGAGGAACACCAAUGGCGAAGGCAGCUCGCUGGGACGGUACUGACACUGAGGGACGAAAGCUAGGGGAGCGAAUGGG
rnacentral:rRNA from 1 species